GACGAACGCUGGCGGCGUGCUUAACACAUGCAAGUCGAACGGAAAGGCCUGCUUUCCCUUGUGGAUUGCGGGUACUCGAGUGGCGAACGGGUGAGUAACACGUGAGUGAUCUGCCCCCAACUUGGGUAUAAGCCUGGGAAACUGGGUCUAAUUCCCGAUAGGACUGCAGGGUGGUGCCUGUGGUGGAAAACGAUUUUCUAGUGGUUGGGGAUGAGCUCGCGGCCUAUCAGCUUGUUGGUGGGGUAAUGGCCUACCAAGGCGGCGACGGGUAGCCGGCCUGAGAGGGUGGACGGCCACAUUGGGACUGAGAUACGGCCCAGACUCCUACGGGAGGCAGCAGUGGGGAAUAUAGCACAAUGGGCGGAAGCCUGAUGCAGCGACGCCGCGUGGGGGAUGACGGCCUUCGGGUUGUAAACUCCUUUCGACCGCGAGGAAGCCACCUGGUUGGAAGGGUGGUGACGGUAGUGGUAGAAGAAGCACCGGCUAACUACGUG
rnacentral:rRNA from 1 species